UACGUAGGGGGCAAGCGUUGUCCGGAAUCAUUGGGCGUAAAGGGUGCGUAGGCGGCCUGCUGCGUCGGUGCUGAAAGCGCCCGGCUUAACCGGGCGAGGCGUGCCGAUACGAGCGGGCUGGAGCCUUGGCGAGGGUGGCGGAACGUCCUGGUGUAGUGGUGAAAUGCGCAGAUAUCAGGAGGAACACCGGUGGCGAAGGCGGGUCUCUGGGCCGAUACUGACGCUGAGGAGCGAAAGCGUGGGGAGCGAACAGG
rnacentral:rRNA from 1 species